GACGAACGCUGGCGGCGUGCCUAACACAUGCAAGUCGAGCGGGGAAUUACCCAUGAAGUUUUCGGAUGGAAUGAGUGAUUUCUAGCGGCGGACGGGUGAGUAACGCGUGAGCAACCUGCCUAUCACAGGGGAAUAACGCAUCGAAAGGUGUGCUAAUACCGCAUAAAACAGGGGUUCCACAUGGAAAUAUUUGUUAAAGAAUUAUCGCUGAUAGAUGGGCAUGCGUUCCAUUAGAUAGUUGGUGAGGUAACGGCUCACCAAGUCCACGAUGGAUAGGGGUUCUGAGAGGAAGGUCCCCCACACUGGUACUGAGACACGGGCCAG
rnacentral:rRNA from 1 species